rnacentral:misc_RNA from 1 species
GUGAAUCAUCAAAUUUUUGAACGCAAAUUGCACUCUCUUCUGAGAGUAUGCCUGUUUGAGGGUCAGUAUUAAUAAAAUCGGGGUGUUGCUUUCUUUGUGACGCACCGGAGAUUGGGCUGCCUUUAACUCUCGGUUUUAAGAUGCUUAAAAUCGAACUUUUUUGCGCUCUUUUAGACGUACAUAAAUUUAUAUUAUCGUUUAUUUUGGAGCCACUUAUCUAUUAUGUGCGAUCAUGUUAUAU